ensembl:snoRNA U3 Small nucleolar RNA U3
AAGACUAUUCUUUCAGGGAUCAUUAUGGGAGAAGUUUUUCUGAAUGCCUAAAGAACCAGAAAACCAUGAGGACAGACAGCAGCAUUCUCUCCUGAGCUUGAAGCUGGCUCUUGGCAUUGGUUUGCUGCAACUGCCGUUUGCCAUUGCUGAUCAUUUUUCUCUUCCUUUGGGAGAGUGAGGGGAAGAGAAUGCAAUCUGAGUGAU